UACGUAGGGCGCAAGCGUUGUCCGGAAUCAUUGGGCGUAAAGAGCUCGUAGGCGGCCUGUUGCGUCCGCUGUGAAAUCCCGGGGCUUAACCCCGGGCGUGCAGUGGAUACGGGCUGGCUGGAGGCAGGCAGGGGAGAACGGAAUUCCCGGUGUAGCGGUGAAAUGCGCAGAUAUCGGGAGGAACACCGGUGGCGAAGGCGGUUCUCUGGGCCUUACCUGACGCUGAGGAGCGAAAGCGUGGGGAGCGAACAGG
rnacentral:rRNA from 1 species